CGGCACUGCACUCUAGCCUGGGCGACAGAGUGAAACUCUGUCUCAAAACAAAACAAAAAAACCCACCACAAGCCGUGAUGACAAGUGGAGAUGAUGCUCUAAAGCCAGGAGAUGGAAGCCACACACGAUCAGGACAGGAAUCUCAGAUCUGUUUCUUCCCCAGAACCUGGAGCAAAGCAGGUGCUCAAGAAAUGUGUGUGACCAGGCGCGGUGGCACACACCUACAAUCGCAACUGCUUGGGAGGCUGAGACAGGAGGAUCGCUUGAGCCCAGGAGGUCAAGGUUGCAGUGAGCCGUGAUGACACCACUGCACUCCAGCCUGGGCGACAUAGUGAGACUCAGGAAAAAAAAAAAAAAGAAAGAAAAGGCAAGACAGACUGACAGAGAAAAAGAAAUAUGUACAACGGCACGAGACCGAGGCUUCCGAGAUGGAGAGACCUCUGGGGAAAUAGGUUUUUCACAGCAGAGGGAAGAAGGGCCGGGACCUGAGCCUGCCCCCACUCCUUCGUCCUUCCAAAAUUCCCCUGGAUUAUUGGCUGAUUUAUUUCCCAAUAUCCCCUAUGAGGCAGAGCGGUGAAGGCUUCCUUUUCUGGGACUAAAUGAAUAUGGGGAUGAAUACGUCUGGGUCAACAAACACACAAAAACCAACAGCUAGGAACUUGUGGAUUUCAGGAUAAAAUGACAUCUAUGGAGAAACGCCUGAUACAGCCGUUCUUAUUUUUCCACUAAAUACCCAGGAAGGCAGAGAAAAAGAUGAAACCUCAGUUGGUUUGGAAACAGAGAUGGCUGCCAAACUCAUACCAGAAGCUGGGAGGAGUUUCUACUAAUGAUCACGGCAGAGGACAAUGUUGGAGAGAAACUUGUGACUCAGGGACCAGGGAUGAAGCAAGCAUGAGACCACCUGCUACGCAGAAGGACCAUGCCGACCACAUCACAGCUGUCUGCCUGGAGCCACAGGCGACUUGGUAUGAGCAGGAAAUAAACUUCUCUCAAGCUGUGAGGUUUUGACAUUAUUUGUUACUGCAGCACAAUCUAGCUUAUCCUGAAUAAUUCAAUGACAAAGAACAUCUAUCUCAGGCCAAGAGUCAACAUCUCAUUUAACAUUAAAAUACUGGAAGCAGCCGGGUGCGGUGGCUCACACCUGUAAUCCCAGCACUUUGGGAGGCUGAGGCGGGCGGAUCAUGAGAUCAAGAGAUCAUCAACAUAGUGAGACCCCCAUCUCCACUAAAAAUACAAAAAUUAGCUGGGCUUGGUGGCGCAUGCCUGUAGUCCCAGCUACUCGGGAGGCUGAGGCAGAAGAAUUGCUUGAACCAGGUAGGCGGAGGUUGCAGUGAGCCAAGGUUGCGCCACUGUACUCCAGCCUGGGCG
rnacentral:lncRNA from 10 species